ensembl:lncRNA
ACUUCCACAAUUCAAACUUCUCAGGCUUUUUUGGGGGAGAGGUGGGCUGGUUGUGUGAGUGCAGCCCUUGAGCUGGGUGCACGGCAAUCCGAGGAUGCUCUCUUCAAGAAGCGUCAGUGCAGGAGGCAAAGACUGGAAUUAAAAAAGGCUGUAUUUUCUGGACAAACGGCAGAUUUUGAGCAGCUUGCCUUAUCUGGGGGCCCUCCUGUCACUCGAACAACUUAGGGACACUAAGACCUACAUGCCAUUUACUGGGCUGAUCUGCACCCAGAAGAAUGGUGGGUUUAGGGGCUUUCUUUUCCUGUUACACAAGAAUUUUUGUGCUCAUAAAGGUGUGCUCACUGCAUAAAACGCUUAUUGUUUUGAAAAAGGGGAGAAUUAAUCAUACUCUACAGUAAAGCAUAUGGAUAACCAGGAGCAGUAAUUCAUUAAGCAGUAUUCAAUCAAACACCCGUGUUUGUGACCUCUGGUUACACACAUUUCCAAGUGCUGGUACACUGUUUUCUUAAACCUCCAAAGCUUGUAACUGUGAGAGCCUCUGCAUGCCUCAAAAUUACAGACUAGCAGGUGAGAGGGGCUGAAGAGACAAGAAGAACCUUCCAGUUGUUUUUGGAAAGUGGAAGGCUCUGCACAGGGAUGAUGUUUCCAAGAAGUCAAAUGUGCAUCACGGAGAGGGAAGGGGUUGUGUAUCACUCAGCCUUAAAACUGCCAUGAAGGGAAAGGACCUCUCUUGUCCAGCUACUGCUGCCAACACAAAGAAGUCAUAGGAUCAUAGAACGCCCCAGGUUUCUCGGGAGUACAACUAAAUGGGAGUGACUGGAGCAUAUCAAGGAGAUGUCACGUCAGCCCUGAAAGAAAACGAUCAGGGGAAAAAGGAACUAUCCGGUGCUUCUCUGGUUUUGUCCUGAAAUCUCACUGUGAGCAGUGGAAUGCUGCUGUGGGCAGGGAGCACGCCUGCUUCCUGCACGCCACACAGGCCCCAUGUGCCAUAAAGAUGUCAGCCCGGAGGCAGAGAUCAUCCCUCCAUUUGUUUAACAGCACUCCCCACGCACAGAGCCCAGCACAACGAGUUUCCAACGUCUGGGAAAAGUGUUUGCACCAGGCGGUCCAUCACCUGCAGAUCUGAUGCCCGGUACAGCCACGAGGGAAGGCGAUGGGUUUUCACCUGGUGUAAUUUACUGCUGGUCUUUUGGCCUCAAAACAGCGAGACAGGUCCAGACCCUCCGUUUGAAUUCCUGUAAAUCUGAGGGCCGUGGCAGAACGCUCCACCUGAAGCAAUGGGCCCUUCCCGCUGCGAUUUGCUGCUAUGAAUUGCUUUCCUCAGUGCCUGUGACAAAUUUUUAUUGAUGUCAAUGCGAGCCAAGGACCUGAAGCAAGAUCUGCUUCUGCUACUGAUUAAAAGAAAAAGAAUGAGGGGAGGAAGGAGAGAGAAAACCGAAGCGUUCCGUAACAUAUUUAAGUAUUAACGUUGCCACAGUUUUAUUAUCUGUAUAGUGAAAGUAAACACAAAACGAUUGAAAUACAUCUCAGUGGCAUCUACGUCCAAUUUCUCUCUGCUUGUUGCAUUUUCUUGGAAUUACUCAUUUAUUUUGAUCACAAAAACAUUUAAAGUAAUUUGUCGAGAGUUAAAUAAAUACAAAAAAAAUCUGUAUUUGCAUAUUACUUGAAUUUAUGAGCUUUUAUAAAUCUAUUUCGUGAAAAACUAAUUACAGCGAUGGCUGAGUGAGAAGCAGCGCUGUAGAAGACUUAAUUCAAACUACAUUUUUGUUAUAAACUCCUGUUUUAAUUUUCUAGCUUCGCUGAAUAACUACAAUUCGCAGCUGUAGCAAAGUGCCUCAUAUAUAAUGUAUAGAUCACAUCCUCUUGCCAUUUUUCACAGGUGCCUGGCUAUUAUACGGUUCGGAAUUCAUUCAUAGUGCCUAUUAGAGGUCUUUAUAUGUAACCGACUUCCUUUCUUGAAUAUUUAUAGCUUUUAUGAGACAUUUAUGGGCAGACCCAACAAGAGUUUCUAAGGAAAUACUGGGAAAUAGUUCUGUAUAACAUCAUUAAUAUACUGUUCUUUGAUGGUAAUGGCUACAAAUGUCAUCUAAUUGCUAUAUUCUUGCUUUGUCUAAGCUU